AACGAACGCUGGCGGCAUGCCUAACACAUGCAAGUCGAACGGGACCGUCGUGUCUAUUUGCGCUCGUGUGCUUAACGCGGGGUAACCUGCCCGUAGGUUCCGAAUACCUCCCCUUGAGGGGUGCUAAUGCCGCAUAAUGUCUUCUGACCAAGGAUUUCUCGCCGUUUGGUGGGCCCUCGUUGGAUUAGCUGGUUGGUAGGGUAAAAGCCUACCAAGGCGACGAUCCUGAGCUGGUCUGAGAGGAUGAUCCGCCACAAUGGGACUGAGACCCGGACCAGAAUCCUACGCGAGGCAGCAGAGGGGAAUACAGGAGACUGGGCGCAAGUCUGAUCCAGCAAUGCCGGGUGAGUGAUGAAGGCGUUAGGGUUGUAAAGCUCUUUUACCCGGGAUGAUAAUGACAGUAACGGGAGAAUAAGCUCCGGCUAACUCCGUG
rnacentral:rRNA from 1 species